rnacentral:lncRNA from 1 species
GUGUGAUACCAGCACAUUCCCUUACCACUGAGAUAUUGUCUGCAGUGUAUUCUUGGAUAUUUAAAGCAUGUACUACAUUGUUACAGUUGGUUUAGUAUAGUUGAUUAUUGACAUCAUACCAUGAGAAUGCAUGAAAUCUUAUACCACAUUUACAAAACAUGACUUUGGUUGGUUUUUCUACCCUUCUAGGGUAUACAUCAAAAAUAAGAUGGUAGCUGUGUACAUAAAACCAAGAUUACAGCUGGGAAAAAAACAAUAAUGAAUGGUGUGGUGAGGAUGUGAAGAAAUGUAACAGGAUGCUGUUGGAUUGCUUAUGCAGUAUUUUUUACACUUGUCCAGCCCUUGUGUAUUGUUCUAAAAACUAAAGCUUAAAAUUUUAUGUUAUUGCCUGCUAGAUGUGCUGAUCUCUGGUAGAAAAUUGCCAUAGUCUGUAUUCCAAGAAGUGCCUGAAAUUGAUUUGUGUUGAUUUUUAAGUCCAUCUAAUAAAUUAUAUAUGUUUUCUAUGGUAUUGUAUGUGCUUGUUUUACCGAUGACACAGAACUGAGGGUUUCUAAGUCUGAAUUUGUGCUUCAUUUGAAUAAAAAGGCUUGAGAUUAUAAAAUACCCAUCUAAUCCUCAACAAAUCAGUAUAAAUAAGCGCUAGCAAAGCCAUUUUCUCUCUUUUCUGAUAAAAAUAUUUCAUGAUCCUAGCACUGGGGACCCACUGUAUUAGGCAGAGACUAGAAAAUUUAACUCUUUUUAAAAAUAAUUUUUAGAGAAAAUUAUACUCCAUAUUUAAAAACCUUUAGUAAACAUUUGCUGCUUGCAUAAGAGUAGCCUUUGCAUUCUCAUAGUGGUUAAUAAUUUUGAGUGUUAUUAUCAUUUAGAUCUUGAGCCAUUUUAUUUGUGUAUACGUAUGUGCCAAACCCUCCUGUUUAUUUGUAUCUGUGUACUAAAAUAUUUGAUCAAAUCUUACUACAUUUCUCAUAUAGUUCAAUUAUUUUUUUUAAAAAACUGACCAUAGAGUAUAAUUGUAAAUUCUAGGACAAGGCUUGGCUGUAUUUCCAGUGAGGUACAGUUACAUUGUGUUCAUAUUGCAAAUCAUCUUCCAUGGAAAGCAAAAUGUGUGUAUGACUUUUAAAUUGUCAUAAUGUGUACUGUUCCCUUCCCCAAACUUCUUACAUUAAUGAUAUACAGAAUUGCGCUCAUUAUUUUUCUUGAAACUAGUCAGAUUGGAGUAGCUUUUUCUCAUAGUAUGUCCAAGUUUCCAUGAGACAGGGUAAUACCUGCAAAGCACUUUUAAAGAUACUUUUUAGGUUAAUGUCCAAGGUAUAGCACUGAGGUGGCAGCUAUGUGUAAUGAGGCUUCUUUUUGUUGCUAGAGUUAAGAAAAAUGUAUGCUAAUCAUUUUAAUUUAUACAUAAAAUAUAUUUUACUAAUUGCGUUAAUUUUAUUAUAAGUUCUUUAGCUAUUAAUCUUAUUUAUCAUAUUUUCCUAGAGAUGCUUAGAUAAAAAUGUAUUCCAACCAGUUUCUUUAUAUAAACCCUCCACCACAGCUAUCACCAAAAUGAGGUCUAUGUAAACAGUAUUGAUAAAUGGGGAAAAGUUUUGAAACCUUUUAGGUUGGUUUUAUUAAAAUUUCCAAUAUAAUGAAAAGUUUCACUCAAGCUGAGUAUGCAAGAAGAGGGAGAUAUUUUGUCUUCUGUUUUGUGAACUUGUGUUUCUCUGUAUGCUAAAGAAAUUUCACACGUAAGGAAUAUUCCUGAAAUUGAAGAUGUUGGGGUGAAUUGGUGCUUUUGUGUUUCCUCUGCUAACGUGCUAGGUAUCUAGGAAAAUAAUGUUUCAGGGCCUUCUUGAUAAGACAAUUUCCUGGAUGGCUGUGGGAUAUUUAUUUAUUUUAAGAAAGGGAGGGAGUGGGUAGAUUGGAGGAGGAACCUCUUCAUUGGUAAGGAAUGUAAUCAACUAUUGUAGAUGCACUGCUUCGUUACACUUGUACCAAUGUCCUUGUGUCCAUAAUUAACUGAACUGUCAAGCUCCAGAAAUGUAUUGGCCAGGUGACCAGUAAGCAGGAAAAGCAUAUUGAUUAUGAAAUUGAAGAAUAAGUCAAAGUAGUUUGCAGGGGGGUGAUAAAAUUACUACUGAAUUUCCAUGUUCAAUAUGUAUAUUAAAUUUUUUUAAGUUGCAUGUGAACUUGGUAUAUUGUCUCUGCUUUAUGCUUUGAGGGAAAAGAGGAAAAAGCUAAGUUAAAUUGUUACUCUAUGAUGUACUGUUACUUUUACCUUUUCUUUUUAGAAAGGAUUAAUUAUAACUUAUUCACACCUCUGUGUUGUCAGUGUUUUUAUUCUGGUUUAUUCUCUUAAAUGUACAGAUUCAUUGGUAGUAGGGCUAGGAUCUGUCAUGGCAGUUGAAAAGGUAUGACAACUGCAUUAUGCAGAUGACAGAUACUGACAUAAGGGGUUCUCUGACACCCUUCUGUAGAACUUGGUUAAUAGAGAGCUGUCUUUCUUUUACUUCUCAGUGUUAGAAAUGGAAAUGAGUCUGAGAACAAAUGACCAGUGUGAUUGAUUUGUUUUAAAAUGUGAGAAAAAUUCAGUCAUUUAAAAUGAGUCUUAACAUUCAUGAGCAUGAAUGAUAGUAAACAGCAAGGAAAGGAAAAAAAUGAGAAGGGAGUCGUCCCCAGACAUAUGCAUACUUGAAUAUUGUCUUUCUCCUCUUCACUAGAUCAUUAGCACCACAAGGGCAAUGACCCUAGGUGUUGUGUUUAUCAGUUCAUAUCUAUUUAGGGAUUCAAGGUGACCAUGUUUUUCACAUUAGUUUUUGUAAUAGACAUAGGACUUUCUUUAAAAUGGCCUAAAAGAACCAAGUAGUGGCAGGCAGAUAUACAAAUUUUAUUUAUUUGAAAUCUGUGGCUCUCCAUCUAACCUAGUGUUUGCAACCUUGAAAUAGUAAAUGGUUCACCAGCUCUUUUAGCGGGGGUGGGGGCUGUCAUCUUAUUGCUGUUUUUAUGUCUUUUCUUCAGUUUUCAUAUCUGGAAUUUCCCCUUUUUACUAGUAAAUAAGUUUUGUCCCAUGAAGUGAAUUCACAUUAAAGUAGUCUCAUGCUCCUUUUGAAUGAGUUCUCUUUGACUGAUGGAAUCCCUUAGGGAUUCCAUGAAUUGGAAUGCUCAGGUGACCAGUUGUUCCAUUCCUACAUUCCUUAUAUUCUGGCAAAUCAUUUUAUAUCAAGAAGGAUGUUCAUCUUGAAGUCUUUUUGAAACAGUCCAAUUGUAUGUAGAUCACAAUAAUAUUCUACUAUAUUUCUUAUAUUAUUACCAGGGAUGUUGUGAUGAACUUCUACUUAAUGCUUAGGAUUAUUCCUAUUGGCUAGAAUCCCAGAAUUGAAAGUACUGGAUUAAAUGAUAUGAUGGAGUUUAAGAAUACCUAUUCCGUAUUUUCACUAGUAUGUAUUUUUUUAAAAAACUUUCCAACUUAAUAGGAUAAAUAUGCGUAUUACUUUGCACUUAGUUAUUCAAGCUAUUUUUCUCCAUGUUUUAAUUUCCCCUUAAUUGUUCUUUUUGUUUUAUUAGAAUCCUGGUGUUUUUUAUUAAUAACUUAAAUAUGAUAAAUGUUUUUGCAGAUUUUCUAAUAGUUUGUCCCUUAAAUUUAUAGUGAUCUUUUUAAUGUGUUUAUUGAUGUAAAAAAAUUAUAUAAGAAAUACUUUUUUAAAGUGAAAACCAACAAAGCACGAUCCAAAAACUCAUUAAAACCAUCCAUUGUCCCAUACCCUAAGAAAACCAGUACCAGCACUUUAUAUGGUUUUGUAUGCUCUUAAGUUUUGCACAGCAUAAACACUUUUGUGAACGUCUUUUACAUACAAAACAUUAUUUUAAUAGAUAUUUUUGUGUUUGGAUAUGUUACAACCACUAUUCUGUUGAUGUACAUUAAACUAUUCCUUAUUUCUCACCAUUAAACAAUAUUUAAUUUAUAC